ACUGUAAAAAAUUUCCGGGAUUUCACAAGAUGUAACUGUGAUAUUUCACAGUUAAUUACAUUAUUAGCAUGUCACAGGCUUUAGCUGUGACAUUUCACAAUAUAGUACAGUAUUCAGACUUUUAUUGUGAAAAUAAUGCCAUCGGCGAAAUCACAGGGAACGGCUGUAAGUUCCGACGCGCGCUAUCUGUUUGGGUUCUCUCAUCUCUGCGGUCUCAUCCAACGGAUUCAGUGCAUCUUUCUGCGGUAUCCACCGGGGAGUAAAGUUAUGAGGUAUUUUUUCCACACUUCACAAGGAUGGGGACAUCACUCAGAAGAGUAAAGUUUCGAGAAGCCCUGGAUAACAACUACAAUAACAUUCUGAAGUUCGUCCAAGGAGUCAACUAUCAUCAACGGGGUGCUUCUUGGGCAUUAAUUCGGAGACAGACAGGCAGAAAGGACAGAAACAACAAGCUGCAAGUCUGUACACUGAUUAGAAAACUUAUGACUUGAAUGGAUGUCAGUCUAGUGUGUCACAAAUACUAGUUCUUUGUUUAGCUAGAGGCGAUUGUACACUUUGUACUCUUACAAUGUUCUAUAUCAGGAGUCUCCAACUCCCAUGGGCAGCAGCUAGCCCGCACAGAGUCUGUGAGGUGCCCACCAAAUCACAUUCUAUUAAUAGUCUCAAUUGUAAUAUUUGUUGAUUACAUAUUUUUUAUAUUGACUUGGCUUGGUUUACAUAUGUUACAAUUUUAAACAAUACAAAAACAUAUCAAAAAGUACAAUGAAAUAAAAUCAACAAGUAAAACAAAAAAGUUUUGAGUAGACUAUAUCAAAAGGUAGCCCUCCAGAAUGUUUUAUCCAUUGUGGUAGCCCUUGCUCACAAAAAGGUUGGAGACCCCUGUUCUAUAUUGUUUCUGUUAAAUAAAGAAACAUGAAGAAAUUAGUGAAUGUCAGUCUACAUUGUAAAAAAUAAAAUAUUUGUUGCACUUAUUUUUUAAGUUUAAUUAACUCUAAAUUACAAUUUAUUUCAACUUUCUUGACUAGU